CUGGCUCACAAAUAUAUAUAUAUCGUGCAUAUUUUUCAAUUUAAAGCUCCUAAAUGAGGCGAACUACAAGUACAUAGUUACUGGUAGUAAAUCAAAAUCAGUUAUUUCAAAGCCCCCGACGAGCACACAAUAGCUACUGCCUUCAGCUCCCACGUCAGAAAUUCCGAAGCGAAAUAAUGCAAUAGUUUGAAGGCCCCCGGGGAUUAAUUUCGCUUUAAUCAGAUUCGGCUACAGAAACACAACAGCAGGCUGCCAGAGCAGCACAGAAUUUGAAAGAACGAAAAUACAAUAUUCCCGUGUUAUUCCGACAUAAUUGUUUUCUGCUGCCAAGUACUCGUGAGUGGGUACUGCAUACCACUGUUUGUAUUUUUCUUUGUUUACCCAGGAUGCCACCCACCCACCACCCACUCACACAAUACAGAAACCCUGAAAAUGGAUUCGGAUUUGCACGCAGCUUAAAGACACGGCGAUACGGAUGGGAAGCGCAGAUACGUGCUGCCAGGGAAGCGAGUGCCAAAUGGCAGAUUAUGUCGCCAGACAUUAAAUCACCGGCAGAGGUAGCUCAGACGUGUGCCAGCUGCCCCGGGCUGCGGCACAUAUAGGACAUGGCAGAUAUGGCAUCCCUAGCAUGGCAAUCCGGCCAACAAGCGCACCCCAGUAGAAUGAAGCUGUACGCCUAAUCCCGGCUCACAGCGGAAGAGAAUACACCUGCGAGGCGGAGAAACUGUUUAUUUCGAGGGAAAUUUAUAGCCGGAAUUAUGUGCUCAAGCAAAGCAAACGGAACUUGGCACAAAAAGUGCAGAGCGCAUUUAAAUUGCCAAAAUAUUAGCUUGGGCUGGUUAUAUUAUCCCUCUGCACGGCGAUUA